AUUGAACGCUGGCGGCAUGCUUUACACAUGCAAGUCGAACGGUAACAGGUUAAGCUGACGAGUGGCGAACGGGUGAGUAAUGCAUCGGAACGUGCCCGAUCGUGGGGGAUAACGCAGCGAAAGCUGCGCUAAUACCGCAUACGAUCUGAGGAUGAAAGCGGGGGACCGUAAGGCCUCGCGCGAUCGGAGCGGCCGAUGUCAGAUUAGGUAGUUGGUGGGGUAAAGGCUCACCAAGCCAACGAUCUGUAGCUGGUCUGAGAGGACGACCAGCCACACUGGGACUGAGACACGGCCCAGACUCCUACGGGAGGCAGCAGUGGGGAAUUUUGGACAAUGGGCGAAAGCCUGAUCCAGCAAUGCCGCGUGCAGGAAGAAGGCCUUCGGGUUGUAAACUGCUUUUGUACGGAGCGAAAAAGCUCUCUCUAAUACAGGGGGCUCAUGACAGUACCGUAAGAAUAAGCACCGGCUAACUACGUGCCAGCAGCCGCAGUAACAC
rnacentral:rRNA from 1 species